AGUGCUUAAAGCAUCAAGUAAAACAACCAAGGAUCCUACUUGAAAAAAUGUCAAAGUGAUUUUAUUGUAAGCUAUACUGAUCAAGCAAAAAGUAUUUUUAUUAUCUUGCUCUCACAAAGGAGAAAGCAACUCCUCUGUCUGAUAACUACGUUUCCGAGCAAGAUCCAGAUUGAUACAAAUGUUUUGAUUAUCCAAUUAACAUCCAAUUAUUGUAAACAAUCAUACUAACUGCAGUGUAUUCUCUAAAAAACUGACUGGCAGUCUGUGUCAGAGGGUGUCAAUAUCAACAUAUCUAAAAGUCUCAAGAGUUUGAGAAACUUUACUAAUGUAAUGGCAUCUAAAAAUGUAGCAGCUGUACCUGAACUCCUCAGUGGGUGAUAGAAGCUUCGACUGCCGGGUUCUAUGGUAACACUUGUAUUCUUCGUCCAAAGGGUAUUGAAUCUCUCUCUUUCUAAAGGCUGCCACAAGGACUUGAAAAAAUCCAGUAAACAAGCUCUCACUAGGUUUUGCUUUGAUGUAAAGAGAGGAGCCAAUUAUGAACAUCAGAGCAGAGAAAACCAUGAGAAUGGCAGGGAUUCCAAAUCCAACUGACCAACCCAAAUGAUCCUGGAUGUAAACAAUAACAGUCAUGGCAAGAAGAGUUGAGAUUGCUGUAGAAGCAUAAUACCAGUUGAAAUAAGUUUCUAGAACCCUCUCAUUAUUGGGAUUUUGUUUGUUGUCAAAUUGGUCCGCACCAAAAACAACAGAACAAGGCCUAAUACAACCAGCUCCAACAGACAUUAGCAAAAAUGAAGACAACAAGGGAAUGAUUUGAGCUCCAUUUGGAGCACUGCACUUGUGCUUCAACUGGUCACAAGAUAAAGGCUGCAAUUGUGGAACCACAGCAGUCAGCCACAGAAGAAUCAUUCCCUGCACAAACAGACAAUAUAUUGAUUUUUCAACCAAAAAGCGGACAGAGAUUUCAAUCCCCAUAAUCUUACCCUAAUACCAAAUAUUUAUGACAUAUCAACACCAUAAAAAAGACAAAUGCCCUAUCGGGCAUACCAAUAACUACAUGCAUACCAGUACUAGAUAUGACAGCAUUGAGAUGAUCGUACUUUACAGAUUCUCUUUUACAUAUGGAUCCAAAAGCAACUAUUCUUGUCAUAUUUCUAUUCCGCCUUUCCUAAUGAUGCUUAGAAGCUUAUAUGUUGAUAGUUGUAUGUUACCAAAUCGUAUGAUGUCAUUGCACAGUCAAACAGAUUGUCUGCAUGCAUAUGUGACAGCACUAGUACAUAAUCAACAUUUCUACUUCGGCAAACAAGCAGCCUAAUUGCUUCACAAGGAUACAUUACAAGCAUUUCAUCUAUGAUAAAUCUGUCUCUAAUUCAACAAAAGGUUGAAAAGUUCUCAGCCAAAGUUAACCUGGUAUCCAACUAAUAUUUCCUGUCUAUUUUACUUUAUCAAUCCUAUCAGCUAAUCUUCAAGAUAGCUUUCCUUUUGCAGGAUAUUGAGAGGAGGAACCUUUUAAUGCAGCCCCUUAGGAGGCACAUCCAUACAAAUAAUUUGGGCAAUUGAUUAGUCACAAAUUUGUGCAAAUUCUGAUGACUUGGAGUUGCACAUGCGCAUAAAGCAACAUAUUCAAGAGAAAUUAUUUGGCUUUGAGCUCUCUGUAACUGUGGCUAAGACAAAAAGUAAAGCAACCUUCUAGAGAUUUUGUUUGAUCUAUUGGUUUUCUUCUUACAGGCUAGCUGUACAGACUCUACUUUUCUUCAGAAACUCUGUAUUGACAAUAUAUUAUAGUGUUAAUAUAGUAAUCUAUCAUCUUCAAAAUAAAGCUUAGAUAAGUUAGUGGACAUACCUCAAAGCAGCCACUCAAAAUUCACCUCUCAAGCAACUCAAAUCUGAAUUUCACUCCUUUCUUCGCAUUCAUUUACCUUAAUAAGACAUUAUGCUGAUUUAUGCGUAUAGCAGAAUCACGGUGCAGGUAUUCUACAUUUUCCAUCCAUCAGUUAAUUUACCAAGGCUUGUUUCAUCUUCUUCAACAUCAAGAAAACUGCCCCUAAAUUUUUGUAAUUUAAGGGUGAAUAAGUAGUAGCAUCUGGUGCUAAUUAGUUGAAUAGGUUCAAUUUGCACUGGAAUUGACCCUGAUUCUUCUUUACUAUAAUAGUUAACUCCAAGAAAAUUUAACAUUGACAACAAUGAUAGGAAGAACUUUUGAUUUGGACCAAAUUAAUUACAUUCCUCAGUCAUCAAAUUCCCAAUUCCCUAAAGAAAGAUGUUAUCAAGAAACAGCAAUAGAAUCGCUUCAUUGUUUAUUUUUAUACACAAAACUUGCAAAUGUUGGCUCAAAAUCAUGCACAGAUGAGUAAUUCCACAACAAUUUAACAUAAUAACAAAACUUGGGCUAUUUCAAAGACGCAAAUUUUACUUAAAAACAAACAAACAUAAUAGACUAAAUUGAUCACCAAACACAGAAAAAGUUACAAGGGACUCACAAGAAGGCUGGAGAAGGAUCCAAGAAAAAUGACCCGGAACCGACCCAAAUAAGAAUCUGACAGAAAAGCACCAAAGAGGGCCAAACCAUUGGACAGAGCAGACCAGAUAAAGAGUAUACUUGAAGCAGUGACAGUUUGAAAAUGAUAGAUUCUUGUCAAGUAGAGUAUCAUGUUUGGCAUUAGCCCCUGGCUUGCCACCCUCUCAAAUGCUUCAUUCACUGCAAAAUAGAUAAACCCAAAAAGGGUGAAAGAAAAAGAUCAAAACUUCAGUCCAAUAAAGAUAAAUGCAACUCCAAGAUAACAUGGGCUUGCUUACCUAUGAUAAAAGGCAUGGUUUUGAGACCUCCCUUUGUCCUUCUUGGUGGAGAAUGACCAAGUAAACUCUCUUCUUCUGGAUUGAUGUCCAUCUCCUCUGCUUCCAUCAACAGUUUCUUUGCAGAGUAGAACUAGACUAUUGUGUUAGUUUUCUUUUUGGUGUCAAGUAUACUGUGCCAGUUGAAGUAAAGACUUUCAUCAAAACAAGAUACUUCUCAAAGGAGGACUUUUAGCUUGUCUCUUCCAUGGUCAGAAAGCAAGAAGUGAAGAAACAGGUAUGAAAAUAACGGAAUUUUAAAUGUAGCAACAAGUUUGACUUUUUCUUCUUUUUUUGUUUUUGGUGUUGGGGUUGGGGGAAGCGGGGGAUUGGUUUUCUUUGUUACUGUAGCAGUUUUCUAAGUAAAUGUAAGAUGGAAAAUCUGCUGAGAGGCAUGUUUGUGCUCUUCUAGUUCUAAUUCUAAAACUUCUUUUAAGUCCAAAAAAAAUUGAAUGAGAAUUUGGGGGUCUAUAUGUUAUUAAAAUAAUUAGAGGGGAAUUUUCUGCAAUUACGUUGAAUAUAAGGGGAGCUAUGUGAAAUUGUCUCUAGUGUAUGUAGCGCAGAAAUGAGCAUAUGUGAUCGCAAUCAAUCAAAUUUUGUCAUCAAUUUGGCCUUGGGUGCAAAAAAAAACAAUUUGCUGGAAUGGCUUAAAUCAGAGGCUAUGCAAUUAUUGUGACUGAAAUCAAAUUAUUGAAACACUUAUAAUUAUGCGAAAAGGUGAGUUUAAUGCAAACAAAUACAACAGAAUACACACUAAAGAAAUAAAUGGAUAAUGAACAAUAAUCAAAAUUUUUUACAAGGAAAAAGGUAUCCAAAUGUGUUUGGAUGAUAGAUUAUUUGGGAUAAUUUUUUGAAAAAAAAAAUACUUUAACACUUUUUUUUUAAUGUGAUGUAUGUAAGAUAAAAUGGUGGCUAAAAAAUGUGUUAAUGAUGCAAACAAAUAAAUUUUUGAAAAUAAUUCACAAUCAAACAAACUUGAACUUCGUUAUUUUAAAAAUAUUUUUUGAUUGCAUUAUUGACAUUUUUUAAUUAUUUUUUAUUUUUAAUCAAAUUUAUAUUUUACGUACAUCAAAUCACAAAAACUACUACAACAUUAUUUUAAAAUUUUCUACAAAUAAUCUGCUAUCGAACCACACGUGAUAUUGUGUAAAAACAUUUUAUAAGUUGAUAACCAAUUCAUCUUUCCAAAUUAAUUUUUGAGCCAGAAAUGGCCAAAAUUUAACGUGCAAUAUUUCUUGCACCUUGUUCUUGGAUUGGCAGCACUGCCAUGGUCGAAUCCCUGCUCCAUUUUGCAAGAGACAUGACUUCAUUGUGUUUAAAUUUGUGGAAAUUUAAAUUCCACAUCUCAAAUACCUAAUGUUCUCAACUGGUUAAAUAUAAGAUACAUUGGUGAAAUAAAUGUAUAAAAUUAUCUCAUACUGAUAAAAUCUCUUUCUUUUAGCAGUGGUAAUUUCAAUUUAUACGUUUUGGCAGUGGUGUACAAGUUAAUUAAAAUGGAAAGUCUAUGAGAAAUGAACAAAAAACUCUAACGAAUACAUAGGGAGCAAAAUAUGAGCAACAAGGAAUUUAGAUAUUGAAAAUAUCCCCCGUCUUACAACUUACAAUGUCAAGGAUCAAAGGCUCAAACGAUUAUAAUUAAGCCGGGAUUGUUUAGUAUAAUUUAUUGAAAUAAUUAUAUAUAUAUAUAUAUAUAUAUAUAUAUAUAUAUAUUCCCUUUUAACCACACUUAAAACCCAACUUAUAAUUUGGAAUCACAAUCUUAUUAUUGCACAAAAAACAAAAAUCACUUUUGGCCAAUCUUGAUGCUACUCCACGUAUCUUCUUGAUGAUGUGGUAUAUAACUUAUAUGAGACCACAUAUAAUAAAUGAUUAAAAUAAAACCUAUUAAUCAUAGAUGAUGUAUAACUUACAACAUAUAAUAAAUUAAAUAAAACAUAUAAGACCUAUUCAAUAUGUGGCUUGUUACUUACAUGAAAUGACACACAAUAAAUGACUAAAAUAAGACCUAUUACUUGACUAAAUAUUCCUAUUCAAUAUGUGGCUUGUUACUUACAUGAAGUGACACACAAUAAAUGACUAAAAUAAGACCUAUUACUUGACUAAAUAUUAGGAGAUGAUCUAUCACUUUUGGCCAAUCUUGACCCUAUACUACUACGUAUCUUGUUGAUGAUGUGGUGUAUAAAUUAUAUGAGACGGUAUAUAAUAAAUGAUUAAAAUAAGACCUAUUAAUUAUGUGAUGUAUGACUUACAACAUAUAAUAAAUUGAAUAAAAUGAGACAGAGAGUGACACAGGGCGUGGGACAGAAGAUUCAUUGCGAGUUUCAACUCACAACUAAUUACCAGGGGUGUGCAUUUGCCUCAUUCUUGAAGGUUGAAUGCUCGAGUUCUUUAACGGGGUCACUUGCUCAUAUAACUCAAAUUAGGGACUGUUCAAGUAGACAUCAAGAGAAGAACCCUGUAAAUUCCUAGAUCUUUGCCCGGUCAUUCGAUCGAAUCACACACGUAAAAUUGUAUCUCUAUUUUUAUUUUCUCUUUGCUUUGUUACAGAUCGAAUCUCCUCUGGGUUUGGAGAGCUCUUGCUAACUUUGUUAAAAUCUCCGUUACAAACCGCUAGAGGCUUUGCAACAAUGAGGAACAACAAAGGCUGGUGUCGAGAAAUUCGAUCGCGCUCGUAGUGUUAACUUGGAGAUGUGACAGCCCUAGACGAGAAGCACGUCAUGCAGAAAAGAGCUUUGAUACAGCACCGCAAGGAGAGGAGAAAAGCUAGUAAAGAUGGCAGAUCAAAUUUUGUUUCAUAUGUACGACUUCCAUAUGAAACCAGUUUCGAUCGUCAAGAUGUCUUGACACUCCAGUGGGAAGCUUCUUCUUCAUUGAAUUUUAUUUUCUAACGCAAGGAAACUUCUUCAUCAUUAACAUUGCCUUCCUCCCCUCUACAAGGUCCAUAGGUCCAACAGCAGAUCAGGAAGAAAAAGAAGUUUGCCAAACUUAAACCAGAAAGAACCCAAAAAUAAUAAUCAUAAUGACCCUUGUUAAUGUUGGUAGAAAUCCAGCUCUCCCCGCCACCUCUUUUUGUAAAAUCAUCAAUAGCACUCAUUAUAAAACUUGCUACCAAACAUCCUAGAGAAAUUCCAACUCCACAGAGAGUAGAAGCCAUACUUGACAUGCUUCUGGGGAGUUCUGAAAUGAAAAACUCAUUCUGCGCGAUAGCACUCAAACCCAGAGUCAAUCCUAUCAGGCAAUAUUGGGGCAAAAGCCAUAGAGCUGACAUGUGCACUAUUGCCUCUGGAUCAUCUGAAAUUCCUUCCUUAAAUGCAAGACUAAGACGAAUACAUUCCACGGUUGCUGUUACAACCACGGAGAGAAAGGAGAUAAACGUUCCAAUUCCCAUUCUUUGUCUUGCAGUGAGGUAAACAGGUUUCCCCUUGAUUCUUGCUGCUAUCGGCAGAAGCACUUGAUCAUAAAAAGCAACCCAGAGUAUCAUAGAAAUGAUAUUAAAUAUACCAAAAGAACCUGCUGGAAUUUCGAAAUUCCCUAUGAUCUUGCGAUCCAUGGAACUUGCUUGAAGUACCGAAAAAGAGGUCUGGUUAAUAUUGAUAAAUGUCACUAUUCCUGACAACCAUAUUGGGAUCACCUUAAGUAGUGCUUUCAGAUCCUCUACCUGAUCCACUGUGCAAAGAUUCCAGGGGUUCUUAGCUCUUCCAUCAGGGGUAAGAUCUUGCUCGGGAUCGUGGAUUAUGCAAGCUUUGUUUAGAAACCUAACAAACAAAAUUCAGGUUAGUUUCAGAAACAGCCCACAGUACUAUGUUUAUAAACAUGUAUUUGAAUGAAAUAGUGAGUGACAAAAAGUUCUCACCUCAUCUUUUCACUAGGAAAAACCAGCAUUGAGCCGUUCUUGUGAUGGUACAACAUCUCGGUACUGCUACUCGAUAAUAACUUGCGAGAUUUAUUUUUAUAAGAGGCUACAAUCACUUGAACAAGUUCAGUGAAUAAGGUUACUUUAGCCUUUACCUUGAUGUAGAUGGGGGAAGCCAGAAAAAACAGAAAAGCUGCAAAAAACAUAACCACCACUGAAGCUCCAAAACCAAUUUGCCACCCCAUUUGAUCUUGAAUGUACACCAUACAGGUCAAAGCAAGGACAAGAGAUAACGAAUACGACACAUAAUACCAGCUAAAAUAUCUCUGUAACAAGACUGCAUCUUUCUUUCCAUCUCUUUUCUCGAAUUGAUCUGCACCAAAGGCCAAGGAAGCAGACCUGAUGCCUCCAGCUCCAACGGAUAGGAGAAUAAAGGAUGUGAAUAGCAUAAAGAGUUGGAAAGAUGUUGCUGAGGUGCAACUGUUGCUGGAUUCAUUACAUGGAGGAGGCCUUGCUUGGGGAAUCAUAGUUGUCAACCACAAAACAAUAGUCCCCUUCAAGGUAAAAUUUUUAUGUCAGAAUCAUCUAGCACUAAGAGGAAUCAGAUAAUCCUGCAACAUCAAUUUGGCUCUUUUCCCUCACAAAAUUAAUCUUCGUCUAGUAAUUUGUUCAUUAAGGACAAUUUAACAAUGCAUUAAUCUUUGCUAAUCGAUGUGAUUACAGUGUUAAGACGUUGGUGCAAGAGUCAGAAGUUAACUAAGCAUUCCAAAUAGGGAAUAGCCGAUUUACUGUAACUUAUUGGCUCUUAAAAACACCAAGUUAGGAAACACUCCAAGAUUGCCCAAGACCAAUCGUAACAAGUAACAACUAUUUAUGGAGCGUUGGUGGAGGAGAGAAUUGGGAUGCAAAAACAAUCUUCCCAGAAAAAGUAUGCUCACGAGCAAGUGCAAAAAUGUUCUCGAGGUUGAUGUUCUAGGAAUUGGAAAUCUGAAUCCAAAUUCCCCCUUCCCCCUCCCAACUUCUUAAAUCUCAUCUUUCCCCUAUUGAAAAAACAUUAAAAAAAAAAGUGCAUAAAUGUACUCAUCUACAGAAGGCAUCCCGGCACUGAAAAUUUUGAAGAAAUUCUGCUUUUGAUUUAAUUUAACUCAAUGUAGAUACUUGGACAUGGACCUGGAAAUUGAAGAUUCCUUGGACACUAACAGCAAGACAAAAAACUUGUGACUCGGACAUUGGGAAUUUAUAAAUUAGGAAAACAUUUUGCUGAAAAAUGAUAAGAAAACCUUUCGGUCAAUCUACAUUGCAUUGAAGGACAUAUAAUGAUAAGAAAACUUUAAUGAUACUAGAAAAUGUAGACUUGAAAAAUGGAAAACUUUUACUUUCUCCACCCAAUUUGACCUCAUCUAAAUUCUCAUCUCAUUUAAACUUUCAUGAAGAGCUGAAAUUUCAAGUUGCUGCGCCAAAAAAAUGGGGGUGUUUUUGCCAUAAUGGAUAAAUGUACUUUGAUGUGUUGGUAAGGAUAUUUUCAUUGACCAUGGUGUUAUAUAUGAGGACUUUGAUUGCAACAACAUUCUUAAUUUUGAGGACUAGAUUCAUACUAACUUAAGACCAAGGACUUAAUUAAGACCUUUUUCUUACUUUAUAUGGACGAAAAAUCAUAUUCACCCACGUCAAAAUCAAAAGUGUCCUAGGUAUUGACAAACCAGUCGCAAGGAUAGUGGCCAUUUGUACAUAAAAUAAAUAAACAGAGAGAUAAUCCGUCACCAUCUUUCUUGAUAAUUCCCUUAGGUCAUCAAUUACUACCGUUGUAUCAAUUGAAGAAUAUUGGAAUAUACCAACUCUGCAAAGAACAGUAGAGCACCAGCAGCAAUAGAACUUGGGGGAUUUAAAAAUUUAGAACUUAAAAUGUUUUUUUUUUUUAUCCAGAACAUGCUCCGACUCGAGCAAAUUAGGACCCGAGCCGACACAUCAAAUUAGGGAUAUGUCGUGGCCCCUCAUAACGCACCUAGGUUAGACAGGAGAUUUAAGUUCAGGGAAAGAUUCAAAUUCAGAACCCACUCAGUCCAAGAGCCCGCUUUACUGCUAGACUAUCCGGGGGGCUAGAACUUAAAAUUUAUGACAACUAUUCCCUCUUUCUUCUUAUUUCUCUGAAAUUUGACUGAAAAUUAACUGCAAUCACCAACAAUAAUAAUGAGCAAAUGGGAGCAUUUCUGAGUCAGUUGAUGCAAGUGAAGAAUAUGUACCAGAAAGCUAAUAACGCAUCCAAAUACGAUCAUAUGGAACCGACCAACAUAAGCAUCUGCAACAAUUGCUCCAAGAACUGGCGUGAAAUUGUUAGCUGCAGACAAGUAAAAGAGGAUAUUUGAUGCAGUUGCCAUCUCCAUAUGAUAUUCCUUCAACAAAUACAGAGUCAUGUUUGGCGAUACCCCAUAAGUUGCCACCUUCUCAAGAACCGAAUUUGCUGCAAAAACAAAGAGUUCAAACUCAAAGAAGAAAAUUACUGAACAACUACGGGGGGAAAAAAACCAUAUUCGUAAAUUUAAAUACUAAGUGCAUAACAAGUGGGCACCAACUUUGUAGUAAUAUAGGUCUGUACUACCUAUGAUGAAUGGCAUGGUUCCAGAACCACCUUUUGGUGAUGAAGUGCUCAGGAGAGUCUCUUUGACCAUAUCUUUCUUUUCUUCUAAUGGUCUCUUCAUUUUUCGUGCCUUUCGAGCUCUGAUCAAGCAGGAGCGUAUGAGGUAUUUUUACGGCUCUAAAUUAUAAGCCCAGAAACAAAAACAUGUUAAGCUCUUAUUGUAGAAGAAGAACCGAGAAGUUCCGCUAGACUUUGGACAAAAACUGGCCGCAAAAGGUCCGUGAGCGAUGUGAUUUUCACUUCGAAAAAAUGGCCGUAAAACUACAUUCCAUGUCCCACCGUUUUUGUCAUGUGGCGAUGGGUAGGAAGUUUCCUGCUCGUGUCGUGUGGUUUCAUCGUGCAACUGUGGAAAAAGUUUAAUCCGGAUCCGACUCAUAGUGAUGGGUUUACUCGACUCAACCAGCUAAAACUUGUUGAACAUUUUACACUUUAAUACCAUUGUAAUAUGAGCUGAUAAACACAUAUCCCACUUAUGCUUGCUAUUGAAAAGUUUUAAAUCACAAACCAUAUAAUUUAGUCUUUAAAUUUAAAGCAUAAAAAUAAAGUCCAAAACUUCAACGCUAGUUUCUAAUAAAAACAAGAUUUAAUAUUUAAGUACAGUAAUACAUAAUAAAAAUAACGACAAAUGAUAUUUGCACUCCAAUAAAAACCUCCGGCACUUCAACCAUUGUUUUAUAGUUCUUGAAUUUCGAAAAUGCCCUCUAUAAUCUAUUUCUCAUGUCAUUUCUUCUCCAACUUGUUCAUGUUCCAAAUUCAUACUAAAUGUUCUUCCGAAUUAAAAUCAUCUUUCUUUAUCAACUCAACACAUUCUUCUUCCUCAAAAAAAUAAAAAAUAAAUUUGCUCAACACAUUCUUCUACCUCAAUUGGUCUCUUCUUAACUGUGAUUUCGUGGUGUCACUUAAAAUUGAAACCAACCACUACUCCUAAAUUUUAAUUGAGUCUUAGAUGCAUCCAGCUAUCACAAAGAAAACCUCCAAUUAUGGUGUAGAGUAUCACUUCUACAAACAAACAUGAUCAAACUCAACAAAAAUCAAUCUCGUGAUACAUAAAAUAUAUUUAAAUAUUUAGUUGAUCAUUUAAAUAGGUCCGAGUCCGGGUUGGAUAAACGAAACCAUAUCUAUAUCCAUACUCGAGAAAAAAUAACGUGUCAGGGCCAGGUCUGGGUCAUUGACAGGCCUAAAAUUAAAGGACAUCAUAGUAACAACAAAAUUCCUGUUAUUAUUUCACCAAAAAUGCAAUGUUUUUAAACCCGGACCGAAGAGUGAACCAGAGAACCUUCCGGUUCAAGGUUCGAUCCCGGUUCAAAGGUUUAAUAAUUUUUUAUUCAUUUUAGUAUUAAAAAUUUUGAAUAAAACUAAAAUAUUUAUUUUAGAAAAUAAAUACUUAAUAAAAACCUGUUGAACCUCCCAGUUUUUAUCGUUUUCACCGGUUCUUGACCGGUUUUGAUCGGUUAAAUUGAUUCUUUGGAUUUUUAAUUGAACCGGACUGAGGCAUGGCCGGUUUGCAGUUCAACCGACCAGCCCGGUCCGAUUUUCAAAACAUUGCAAAAAUGUACACAAAGGGGUGAUAUUUUGACUUACUUUUUAAAUAUGUUGAGACUAUUACACUCAUAGAGGAAUGUGUGUGUUUGAUGGGAUAUUUGAUGCUUGUAAAUUAAUGCCUAAGAUCUAAUCGGAACAACUAGAGUCAGCCAGAUUAAAUAUAACAUCACGAUCUAGAGAAUGACACCAAAUUAGAGAAGUUUGUGCAAAUAAAGCACAGGAAUUCCAAAAAAUAAACAGUGCAAGGUCAUGAUGUUGACAACAAAUUGAUGGUGAAAUCCCCUCCUUCCCAGAAUCCCAGGGAGACGACGACCUGCUUAGAAAACAGAUGCUGCUAGCUUUGCCUUUUUUAUACCCUUGUAAUAACUGAAUAGGACCGAUCAAAGUAACAUUCCAGAGAAAAUGAUAGGGCAUUAGACCAAAAGAAAAGGAAAUGAUAUAUGAAGGACACAAUUAGCAAGUAGUAUUUCUAAAUGCAAGUACCAAAUAAUUACCAGAAGGCUAACAACAGAGCCAAAUUUGAUCAUAGGAAAUCGAUCCACAUAAGAAUCUGCAAUAAUUGCUCCAAGAACAGGCAUGAAAUUGGUAGCUGCUGUCCAGUAAAUAUUGGAUGUACAGGCCAUCUGAAUUUGAUACUGUUUCACACUUUCACCAAAUACAGAGUCAUGUUUGGCGUUAGCCCAUAACUUAACAAACACAAAGGGGGAAAAAACAACCAAGAAAACAGUAAUUGAAAAACUGCAUAAAGAAACUGAUGAUAUUAUUGCAUACAAAAAGAUAGGCAGAUAAAUCUUUUUACAUUCUGGUGUACCUCUGAUAAAUGGCAUGGUUCUGAAACCACCCUUCGGUGGUGAAGCAUUCAAUAGACGCUCUUUGGCCAAUUCUUUCUUUCACCUAGUGAACUCUCCAUUUUUUCGACUGCUUCUGACUUCUGUUCAAUCUUAGUAUCAAUCUUCUAUCAAGUUUUUAACCCACAAGAAUGAUACUAGUACCAUAAUAAGCGACUUAUAAAGAAGGGGAAAAAAAGGAGAAAAGCUGGAGCUCCCCUGAAUUCUGGACAAAAAAGCCACGUAAAGAUCUUGAAUUAUGUGAUGUUUUCUCUAUCAAAUUCUGCAUUCUACUAGUAAUAUUCAGUGUUCUACUGAUUCAUCCAUCUUGAAGAAGCAGAAAUAGUUAGUAGAAGUUGCUGUGUCUUCUUAGCAUGUGGGGAACUGAGAGGCGUGGCACGCUGGGAAAAGAGGCCAAGCUACGUUUGUUUCUUAUUUGGAUAAAUUGCCUUUUACCCCCUAUAGUUUGGUACUUUACCACAUAACCUCCUAUUAUUUAAAAAUCGACAUAACCCUUUUAUGAUUUGGGUUAAAGUAUCAUCAUUAGUUUUUUUCGUUAAAAGUAAUGGUCAAUAAUAAAAAGUGAAAAUCAAACUAAUAAAUUAACAAAUUUAUCCUUUCACUACUUCUUGUUUUCCCUCCAAACAUAAAAAAGAAGAAAUUGAAGUAAAAAAUAGAUAAAUAAGAACUAGAAAAUACCAUUAAGAUUUAGUUUAAAAACCUAUAAUGUUAUUUGUAGUAAAAAAAUUUUGAUAUUUUUGUUUCUGAUUUAUUUAUUGUAUAUUUCCCUUCCAUCUUUUUCAUUUUUUAUUUAUUUAUUUUUUUCCUUCCAUUUAUUUUGUAUUUGGAGAAAAUUAAGAUUUUGUAGGCCAAAGUAUAGGUUUUCAAAAUUAUCUCUUCUCCCAAAAAAAGAAGAGAGAGAGAGAGAGAGAGAGAGAGAGAGAGAAGGAAAAAAGAAAAAGUAGUGAAAAUGUGAAUUUGUUAGUUUGUUUGUUUGACUUUAACUUUUUACUAUUGAUUGUUAGUUUUAACAGAAAAAUUAAUAGUAGCACUUUAACCUAUACCAUGAAAGGGUUAUAUAUAGGUUUUUAAACCACAUGGGGGUAUGUGGUAAAAUAUGAAACUAUAGGGGGUAAAAGGUAAUUUAUCCUUUUUGCAUUUUCAUUUGGCACGCAAUGAAGAUUUUCUUUUGACUUUGGAAAAGUUUUGGUGUUUUGCUUCCGUUAAUUAUGCUUAAAUUCUUACGAGAAGGGAAAAAUACAUGUGUUGUUUUCACUUGGAAGAGAGUUACAGGUCUUCCUAUUGCAAAUUAUAUUCUCCUUUAACCAUGAACUUUUAUAAUAGGGAUAAUUUCGAAAACCUCCCCUGAGGUUUCAUGAAUUAUCACUUAGCCCUCUUGAGGUUUUCAAAAUCUCACUUAGCACCCCUCGAAUUGACAUUUUGGUAGCAUUAUCACCCUUCUAACCAAAAGUCAUAUUAAAAAAUUCAUGUUUGAGGAGAGAGAUUAUUUUAGUGCCUUUAAUACCCUUAGGCUAUAGAAAAAUGAACAUUUUACAAACCAAGGGAAAAAAAAGUACUAAAUUGGAACCAUCUUAAAAAUGAGAGGAUGAAAAUUGAUAAGAUUUUAUGUUACAGCCGAUAAUCAUUUCUAUAGUAGAGAGAGAUAGUAAAAGCAAAUAUUUUUUAAACCAUUUUUAUAAGUAAAACCCUCCAUAGCAUUGAAGGCAAUUAGCAUGUAAAAAAUCAUACAUUUGAGCCAAAAAAAACUCAACAAUAGAUGAAAUUCAACUUUAAUAUCAUACAAAGAAUUUACUUAAAAUAGACCGACUUUUUUAUGGGAGUGAAAUAUGAAAAUUUUAUUAUAAAAAAUUCAGAAUUUGAAAAACUGCAAUCGGAGUUUUGGUUACUUUAUUUCUCUUGCGCUCUACAUGAAUAGGAACAAAUAAAUAAAUAAAGUUGUGAAACACAAAAAAAAAAAGGGAAAAAAAAGAACCUCCAACUAUUUUUCUCCAAAUGCGCUGAAUGUUUCAUUGAUUAAAUCCUAUAUUUCAUUAACAUUUAGAGAAAGAAAAACAAGUUCAGAAAAUUUAAAUAUGAGGGUAUUAUUGACAAUUCAUCACCUUUGAUAUUAGCAUAUGGCCCUACUAUCACUUCAAGGGUGAUAGGUGAGAUUUUGAAAAGUUCAGAAGAGCUAUGUGAUAUUUCAUGAAACCUCAAGGAAGGAUGUAUAAGAUCACUUUUGGUCAAUCUUGAUCCUACUCCACAUAUCUUCUUGAAAUCAAGAAUACAAUAAUUUAACAAGAAACAAGCACAAGCAUGAAUACCUCUACCUAUUUAUAAGUUACAUUACUCGACUAAUACCUAAUAAGUAAUAAUAGGAAAUAAUUACUAAUUCUUAAUCUUAUAUAAAAUAAAAAAUAACUCCUAAUUCCUAAAUUCAUAUAAAUAAGAAAAUAAUUAAAAAGCUAGUUACUUACAUGCAAAAUAAGAAGAAACUUGUCUAAAGAGAUAAAACCAAUUUCCUAACAACUUGUCACUCGCUUUACAUAUUCAAAUGCUCGCAAGUCACUUCUUGUCUGCGUCUUUCUUCUUCUUUGUCGCUUCACUUUCUUUCAAGGACAAAAUGAUCCUACGUUGGAAAAACACUUGCGAAUCUUAUGUAACUUUUUGUCUUGCGUAGAUGAAUCACUUUUACUGUAUAUUAAAUUUGCAUUCCGAUUUCUUCAUAUGCUAAGGUAACUUGUGGACUUUCACAAACUAUGAAUUAUUAUAAUUUGAUAAGUCUUGACGUUGUAAAAGUACAAGUAACGUAAAACCUAAAGAUUUCUAACUCAAAUCGAUAGUCUGAAGGGAACAGAUUCAAACUUAUUCAUGUAAGUUAAAUAUAGGGUGACGAUACUUACACACCCCAUCCCAUGAAUAUCUACUAGACCAAACGACAAGCAUUAAUAGUAGGAAAAUGGAGGUGUACAAGGAACCAAACAUUAUCGUUAAAUUUGUUCACAAUUAUAUUGUAAGUUCCAUGAAAGAUAUGAUUAGUUUGUACAAACAAAUAUAUAAUUAAAAAUUAAAAAUCCAUUUUCCUAUAUAAUGGUCAGUCUAGCAGCUCGUUAGUCUCAUCCCUGAUCAGUAAUUCUCCUGCUUUUUCUCUCACAGUUGCUCCCAAAACUAUUCAAAAACAUGAGUGCAUAGUGAAGAUGGCGGCCAUGAUGAAAAUUUUGCUUCUUUCUGUUGUUAUCAUCUUUGCCCACAUCCCGGAAGAAGCAGAUAGUACAUUGCACGCAAAGACACAAGAAUUGAUCAAUUGAGCUAACAAAUUAGGACCUUAUUGAGGUUUGGUAAUUCUAAAUCUACUUGAAACGGAUCCACUACGUACAUAAACAUCCAAGUUUCAUUCUUAGUGAGCACAUUAUAUGCCAUCGUCAUGCAAGUAAAAAAAUUCUGACAAAUCAGAAGCAUUCUGGGCAACCUUCAUGAAGAUAUACUCAAACAAUAAGUUGAUAAUUAAUUUUUAUUUUAAAUCUUAGCCUAAAGGAAAUUAAGUGUGUGCUAACACAAUCGAACAGAGUGUGCAGUGCAUGAUUUGAGAUGUAAACAGGAAAUGGUCAAAUAGGAUAUGAAAUGGGAAUAUGGAGUAAUAAUCUUCCUCCUAUAUUAUUUAUUAUAUUACUAAACCUUGAGCGUACAUAUAUUGUCUAAUCAUCCCUCGUCUACCCAGUCACUAUUUAGCAUGCAGUAUUGACAAUUUACUCAACUGCAAAACGACAAGCUUAAUAAUGCUAAAGUUAUGGUCUUCACACGAACCAUUAACUUCGGGAAUAAUGCGAAGUUUUUCUUUACCCCAAAAUUAAGAAAAGAAAGAGCCUAUAUUUUCAGAUUCGGAUCGGGCAUCAACUCAAUCAAGUUUAAGGAUAAGGGGUCAAUGGGUUCGAUCGAAAUUGAAUAGGAUGAUGUCAUAAAUAAAAAUUAUUUAAAAAUUAAAUAUUGUAUGUAAAAUACUUAAGAAUAUGUUAAUAUUAACAAAUAUAUAUAUAUUCAUACAUAUUUGAUGUUUCAAAUAUAUUUAAUAAGAAAAUAUAAAGAAAUUAAAAUGAUCAAGUAGCAAUUUAUAUUAUUAAAUAAACAUUAACAAGUUUAGAAUUAAAAUUAUGAAUUUGAUUGAAAAAUAACACCAAACUUUAGGACAACAUUUAUAAAGUAUGAAAUAUUUGAGAUAUAUUAAUAAUUUUUAGCAACCUAGAGGCCAAAACAUAAUAUUGAAUAUGCUUUGACCUUUAAAAAAAAAAUCUUGACAUCAAAUCGGUUCAUCCGGUUUGCUGGUCAAACCCGGUUUUUGAUCGAGUUUGAACGAAUUUUUAUACAUCUGAUUUUUUAGAGUAAUUCAGACUGGACACUUGACCGAUUUCCAAUUCGACCAGUCAGACCACCCUAUCUGAUCCGAGUUUAAAAACACAGGAAAGAGCAGCACAUACAAAGUGAAAAUUUCUAAAUAAUAAGUCACAUGUGGAUCCAUAAAGAUAGACUUCCUUUUCUCCCAAAGGUAGUAAUGAAACUCAAAUGGAGAUUUUUUUUUAAAUUAUUUUUUAUGAGAAUCUCAAUUCUUGUUAUCUUUUCCUCCGUUAGUUAAUUGAAACUUUUAUCAACUAGGGGAAACAAUGUAACUUAUGCAAUUAGCUAGUUAGCUAAACUCUAAUACAUAUCUUUAUUAAUUUUACUCGUUUUUGGACCUUUAUAGUAGACCAAGUUUGUCUGAAAUAAAUAUGUUUGAAACCAAUUUCAAGGGUGCCUUUCAUAGUUAUUAGGGCACUUUCCGACUUGGCGGGGGGUGGCACUGCUCAAUCUAAUGAGGCUGCUACUUACACUUCUCUUGCUGCUAAUAAUGCUUUCAAAGUUGUGGUGGAAUUCAUCAAGAUUUUACAGUUUUUCCAUGGCCUCUUUCAGAAGUUGAAAAAUGAUCAGGAGUGACAAAUUCUUGAAUAGAUUUAUGUCAGCAAAGGAAUUUAGAUACAUGUAAAGCUAGCUGAAUCUCAUCCCUUUCCUUUUUCCUCUUUUCACGAGGAAAAAAUAUUUGUACUCGAUGAAUAAAAUUUGCCUGCAUUUCUACGUGAAAUUUUUUAAUUUCCAAAUCAAUUAUGAAAUUCAGCACUUAAGAUCCAGUUCCUAAUCUUGAAUCUUAAGACCUCCCAAAUGUCCUUUGUCCCUUUUGACCUACACAACUUUUCUCUAAAGACCUUAAGCUCCUAUGUGAAACUCGGAAUUUAGUUUAAAAAAAAAAAAACUAAAGCUAUAGGAAAAUCGUACUCCUGUGAAUGGUGUUUACUCAAAAAUAAAAAGGGAAAAGAAAAAAUGAGAAUGAAAGUCAAGUACAAGCAAAAACAAGAAACAACUACAUCAAGAACUUCAGAUUACUUGUCAAUUGCUUCGCCUUCAUCAUAUUUUAAGAUCCAGAAAACGAAGAGGACCAAUUCUCUUCUUCAUCAUAUUACUUAGCAUGUAUGAAGCUCUUUACAUACAUGCUAAGCUUCAUAGCAGAUUAUAAAGAAAAUUAUCCACGAGCUAAGCGUCAUGACUAGGAGGCCUUUAUAGCUAAGAUGAAUUAUUUAAAAAUGUUGAAGUUAUUCAGAUGUCCAAAAUCUUAUAAAGAUGAACCUAAAAUCUUGAACUAAGAUAUGUGUCGAGACUCCAGCAGCCACCUAAUAAAAUAUCUCCACAUGGGUGUUUAUAAUAUAUUAGUACGAGCCUUGAAUGGCACAGGAUAUUUAUGCUCAAUUAAUAAAAUGGUAGGAAUUGAAUAAAUGAAAGAUCAAAAAACUAUAGCACACAAAAAAAAAAAAAAGAAAGAGAGAAAAAGAAAGGAAUAACUAGGGUUGCAAACGAAUCGAGCCGCUCGCGAGGAGUCGAGUCAAAGCUCAAAUUGAGCUCGAGUCAAGCUCGAACUGGCCAAAUCGAAUUCGAGCUCGAGUUCGAACUCAAAAAUAUUAAGUUCGUUAGCUCAAGUAUAUAUAUAUAUAUAUAUAUAAUUUUUUAUUUUAAUAGUGAAAUUAUAUAUAUGUCCCUAAUAUUUUAUUAUCGAUUAAGAAAAAAUACUAUUUUAUUUAUUUUUUAAAAAUAUAAUAAUUAUUCGAAUUCGAGUCGAGCUCGAGCUCGACCUUUAAAUUGGCAGCUCAUCGAGUUCGAGCUUAAUAAAACUAAGUCAAGAUUCGGCUUGAUUAGGCCAAAAAACUCAACUCGACUCGACUAGACUCGUUUGCAACCCUGGGAAUAACUAGUGACAAAGGCGCUCUCAAAAGUUUAAAAAUAUUUUUCAUAAAUUUAUAUUUUGUCCUUGCUAAAAAUUGAAAAUGUUCUAUUUUUAUUCAAGUGUAAAUAUGUUAAAAUUAGCACCUUCAAAAUAAAUUUUAUCGGUCCAUCUACAGCCAGACAUUCCGGAUGUCAUGGAGUCCACAGCUGCCGAACCCUGUCAUUAAGCAAGGCAAACUUGUUUAACUUGGGGUUGAUUAUUCAUUUAACCUAUCAUGCAUAUACCCACACUAAUAAUUAUUACCUUCCUUUGCAUUUAUGUACUUUUCUUAAUUAAUCUUACCUUUCCAAAAACCUAACGCCUGAAAUUCAUCUUGACCAGUGUCCAAUACACACACGUUAAAUAAACCUUUAUUUAUUUAUCAUUUUAUUAUUAUUACUUUGUUCAAGGCGAGACUCUAAGCCUUACAAGAGAGACAGAGGAAGAUUUGAAAGUUGAACCAGAGACCUUAGGGUAACUGGCUGAUGCACUACUAGUUAAGUUGGAUUACGAAGAAAUGAGCAUCUCACAUUGUAGGCAUCAUGGAACGAGCAAAUUCAAGGCUUUUCCUCAAAAUGCAAAAGCAUACAGUGUAUGGGUGUAAAGUCAUUUUAGAAAGUUCUGAUCAUUCCUUUUCUAGGGAAAAUUCCUAAUAAUUUCAGAUUGCAGAGAAUGUGCCAAUAUAUUGGAAUGCAAAAGGCUCAAUGCCCAUGUAAAAUCUCUUGAAUGGAAAAUAUAUUAGUCUGUAGUGUUGGUGAUACAAGGAAUUAGCAAAUUAAACAUCACCUUAGGUAAAAGAGUAGUAGUGUUCAACACAAAGGUGGUGCCAAUUGUGAAUGUGGACUUGCCAAAAACCAAAACAAUAGAAGCAGCUUAAGCAUCACCUUAGUGUAAAGCGAUGCUACCAUCCAACAUAAAGGUGGUGCAAAUUGUGAAAAAAUGGACUUAACAAACACAAGAAAAAAUUGAAUACGUUGUUUGCAAAAUGAUGUGCCAUACAGACUUCAAAGGCUCGCAUCCAAAGGUCUCUGGUUUUAUGCAUCUGUCACAGACUUCCUGUGCAUACGCAUGUGAGGAUAUGAAUGUACUUUACAAUAUACUAAAACUCCGAACCUUAUUAGUACUGCAAAAGCAAAUUGGCGCUGUAAUGUAUUUCAUGUCUCGUUUUAGUAUCCUUCCCCCCAACCCAAAGAGUUUAAGGUAAUACCCCUUGGUCCCCAAAAUCUUAUAAUUGUACCAAAUAGUCCUACAAUCCCCAAGCAUUUGUUUUCUAAUUUGCAAGCAUAAUUGUUUGCUAGCCACAUCUGCUCUAAUAGUUAAAUUGGGCAAAUCAAACUCAAAGGCUCGCAUCCAAAAUUAUCCAAAUAAGGAAUGUACGUGCAGAGUUUUAGGUACAACUCUUUUCUCAGAGUAACAGCAUAAGGAGCAGAAGUAAGCAACAGUAGUAGUGAUAAAGAUUAGGGAUAAUUGCAGAAACCUCCCCUGAGGUUUCUGACAUUUGCACUGACCUUCCCUGUGGUUUGAAAAAUUACACUAACCUCCCCUGAGGUUACUAAUCCUUUACAAAUUCAGUCCAAACGAUUAAAAUAUUGUUUUAGAGAGUGAAAUUCGAAUUUUGUACUAAAUCUGUCCUUUGUACUACACGCCCAAUGAAUGACAAAAUACUACAAAUCAAUUAACAAUUAAUAAACUUUAAGGAAUAUAGUUUAUAGGCAAAUAAGCAUUACCUAUUUAAAGUACCGGCUCUUUACGGGUAUUUUACUUUCACACAUUUAAUUUAAUACAACUAUUUACGCUCAAAUACAGAUUUGUAUUUACUUUCAAAUAAUUUUUGUUAAAUACAAAAACUACCAAUCUCUCUUCCGUAAGAAUAUUAAUAUAACACUUUUUAAUUUUAGUUAUAACCAUUUAUGUAUUUAAUAUAAAUUAAAUGAUUUAGAAUAAAAUACCCAUAAAGCGCCAAUACUUUACUCAUGUAAUGGAUAAAAGUCAUAAAAAAUUAAUACUUUAUGAAUCAUUUCUUUUUAAAAAAAUAUUUAAUUUAUAUUAAAUAAGUAACCUACCGAUUUCAUUUUUGCAAGAAUAUUACUGUAACACUUUUUAAAUUUUACUUACAAAUAUUGAUAUAUUAUCAUAAAUUAAAUGUUUGAAAAUAAAAUAUCCAUAAAGAGCCGCACUUUAAAUGAAUAAUGCGUGUUUGCCCAUAAAGAGUCGGUAACUAUUUAAAGUACCGGCUCUUUACAGGUAUUUUACUUUCAAACAUUUAAUUUAAUACAAAUAUUUACGCUCAAAUACAUAUUUGUAUUUAGUUUCAAAUAUUUAUUUUUUAUUAAAUACAAAACCUACCUAUCUCUCUUCCGUAAAAAUAUUAAUAUAACACUUUUUCAAUUUUAGUUACAAACAUUUAUGUAGUUAAUAUAAAUUAAAUGAUUCAGAAUAAAAUACACAUCAAGAACGAAUACUUUACUUAUGUAAUGGAUGAAAGUCAUAAAGAAUUAAUAUUUUAUGGGUCAUUUCUUUUUUUAAAAAAAAUAUUUAAUUUAUAUUAAAUAAAUAACCUACUGAUUUCCUUUUUGCAAGAAUAUUACUGUAACACUUUUGAAAUUUUACUUACAAAUAUUAAUAUAUUUAUCAUAAAUUAAAUGUUUGAAAGUAAAAUACCCGUAAAGAGCCGGUACUUUAAAUACGUAAUGCGCAUUUGCCCAUAAAUUAUACUCCUUAAAGUUUAUUAAUUGUUAAUUGAUUUAUAAUACUUUAUCAUUCAUUGGACAUGUAGCACAAAGGAUAAAUCUGGUACAAAAUUCUAAUUUCACUCUCUAAAAUAAUAUUUUAAUCGUUUGGACUAAAUUUGCAAAGGAUUAGUAACCUCAGGGGAGGUUAGUGUAAUUUUCCAAACUAUAGGGGAGGUCAGUGCAAAUGUCAGAAACCUCAGGGGAGGUUUCUGCAAUCAUCCCUAAAGAUUAUUUCACUACAUUCAGCAUAUUUAUUGCUAGAUUUGUUGUAAUCACUGCAGAUACAUAAAUUAUAGCAGAGGGACAAUGGGUUUGUUUGAAUUGUAAGUUAUUUGGGAUAUUUUUACUAUAGCACUUUUUGUGACGUGAUGUAUGUGAGAUAAAAAGGUAAUGAGGAAGAUAAAAAAGUGUAUUGGAAAUUGUAAUAAUAAUGUAAGCAAAUAAAAUUGGGAAAAUAAUGCUCAAUCCAAACAAACCCACAUUAGUAUUAUAUAUUCAUCAAGCUGAAGGCAAAGGAGUAUAACCAGAUUCUUUUUCUGGUACUUUUUUAGACAGCAUGUUGCUGUUGUGAUGAGAUUUAUAGAAGCGGCAGCAAAAGAGAAAAUAGAAAAAGUUGAUUAAGUUUAAGAAGCCAAGCAGCCAAUAAUAGUAGUCAAGAUGACCUUCAUUCAGGUUGUUGGCCAACCAGCUUGCUUUACCACCAUGACUAGUAAUGCUAUUGAUAAUAUUCACCAGAAGACUUCCAAUCAGGCUAGCCAGAGCCAUCCCAAAUGUGUACAUAGCCACUCCAACACUGGACAUGCUCUUGGGGAACAGCAUGUAAAAGAACUGUAUCUGUCCAAUUGCGUUUAAAGCUUCAGCCAAUCCAAUGCAUACCGUCUGUGGCACUAACCACAUAGCAGACAUGUCCAGGACAGCAUCAGGAUCAUCCUCAACCCCCUCCUCAACUGCUUUUUUCAGCCUUAUGCUCUCGACUACGCCUGCCAAUACCAUUGCGAUAAAUGACAUAAUCAGCCCCAUGCCCAUCCGUACUAUGGGACUUAGUCCUUGCGGAUUACCAGUAUAUCUCGCCAAUAGCGGUGCUAGUACACGAUCAUAAAAUGCGACCCAAAUUGUUAAAGUAAUUAUCAUGAACAGACUAAAGGAUCCUGCAGGAAUUUCAAAAUUUGAGAAUAAGUGCCUAUCCAUGGAAUUUGCUUGAAGUGUUAGAAAACCUUGGUCCAUGGUCACUAUAAGUACAAGGCCUGUGGACCACAUGGGUAUGACUUUGAGAAGAGCCUUAAGGGAUUCAAGUUGUUCCACACUGCAGAGUCUCCAUGGAUUUGAAGCUAAUCCAUCUGAAGUUAACUCUGUGUCGGGGUCUUGAACAACACAAGCCUUAUUUAAACACCUGUACCAGUGCUUAAAGCAUCAAGUAAAACAACCAAGGAUCCUACUUGAAAAAAUGUCAAAGUGAUUUUAUUGUAAGCUAUACUGAUCAAGCAAAAAGUAUUUUUAUUAUCUUGCUCUCACAAAGGAGAAGACAACUCCUCUGUCUGAUAACUACGUUUCCGAGCAAGAUCCAGAUUGAUACAAAUGUUUUGAUUAUCCAAUUAACAUCCAAUUAUUGUAAACAAUCAUACUAACUGCAGUGUAUUCUCUAAAAAACUGACUGGCAGACUGUGUCAGAGGCUGUCAAUAUCAACAUAUCUAAAAGUCUCAAGAGUUUGAGAAACUUUACUAAUGUAAUGGCAUCUAAAAAUGUAGCAGCUGUACCUGAACUCCUCAGUGGGUGAUAGAAGCUUCGACUGCCGGGUUCUAUGGUAACACUUGUAUUCUUCGUCCAAAGGGUAUUGAAUCCCUCUCUUUCUAAAGGCUGCCACAAGGACUUGAAAAAAUCCAGUAAACAAGCUCUCACUAGGUUUUGCUUUGACGUAAAGAGAGGAGCCAAUUAAGAACAUCAGAGCAGAGAAAACCAUGAGAAUGGCAGGGAUUCCAAAUCCAACUGACCAACCCAAAUGAUCCUGGAUGUAAACAAUAACAGUCAUGGCAAGAACAGUUGAGAUUCCUGUAGAAGCAUAAUACCAGUUGAAAUAAGUAUCUAGAACCCUCUCAUUAUUGGGAUUUUGUUUGUUGUCAAAUUGGUCCGCACCAAAAGCAAUAGAACAAGGCCUAAUACAACCAGCUCCAACAGACAUUAGCAAAAAUGAAGACAACAAGGGAAUGAUUU
rnacentral:lncRNA from 1 species